rnacentral:rRNA from 1 species
GACAGAGGUGCCGAGCGUUAGGCGGAAUCACUGGGCUUAAAGAGCGUGUAGGCGGUCCGGUAAGUCCGCUGUGAAAGUCGGGGGCUCAACCCUCGAAUGCCGGUGGAUACUGUCGGGCUAGAGUGCGGAAGAGGCGAGUGGAAUUCCUGGUGUAGCGGUGAAAUGCGCAGAUAUCAGGAGGAACACCGGUGGCGAAGGCGGAUCUCUGGGCCAUUACUGACGCUGAGGAGCGAAAGCGUGGGGAGCGAACAGG